GGUCCGGAAUAGGCCGGGGGGUCAGGCGUCCCCUACAACCGGAAACCGUCUUAGCCGGGGCCGAAAGGGAGUGGGCGGCACAACGACCAUUCGAGCGAUCCGCGGGCCUGCUAUGAAGCCUCGUCUCUUAGGGUUGGAGGUGGAAAAGGGUCCUGCCGGAAGGCAGAAUCCGUUCCUUGAAUGCGGGAACCGGGCCAGGCACGGAAGUGAGCAGCCUUACCGCUAACUGCCGACGCUUAAGGGGCUGCGGGGCCGAGAAACCCGCGGGCCAAUCGCUAGAACGGCACGUAUGUCCACCGCUUCCACGUCCGGACC
rnacentral:SRP_RNA from 1 species